UACGUAGGGAUCGCGCGUUAAUCGGAAUACUGGGCGUAAAGCGUGCGCAGGCGGUGAUGUAAGACAGUUGUGAAAUCCCCGGGCUCAACCUGGGAACUGCAUCUGUGACUGCAUCGCUGGAGUGCGGCAGAGGGGGAUGGAAUUCCGCGUGUAGCAGUGAAAUGCGUAGAUAUGCGGAGGAACACCGAUGGCGAAGGCAGCCCCCUGGGUCAAGAUUGACGCUCAUGCACGAAAGCGUGGGGAGCAAACAGG
rnacentral:rRNA from 1 species